AGUAUUAGUUGUUUUCUUGAAAUCUAAAAUAUAUGGCGGUAUUUUAUCUGUUCAGAGGAACCUGUUUCGUAAUUGAUAGUCCACGAUUUAAUUUACUUUAAAUUUUAGCUUGUAUAUCGUUGUGAUGGAUUAUUUUAGAAGAAUUUAAAAUGAUCAAUAUUUUUAAUUAAAUUUAAAUCAAAUCAAGAUGCAGUUUAUGUUAAAGAGAUUAAUGGGUUACAUUAAAUUUAUUUUUGGUUUAUUAUUUUUAAUUUUAAUAAUAAAUUGGAUUUGAAAGUAAUAUUAUUUAAAUAUUUUAUAUGAAUUUAGCUCUAAAGUAUGU
rnacentral:rRNA from 1 species